UCGAACGAAGGCUUCGGCCUUAGUGGCGCACGGGUGCGUAACGCGUGGGAAUCUGCCCCUUGGUUCGGAAUAACAGUUGGAAACGACUGCUAAUACCGGAUGACGACGUAAGUCCAAAGAUUUAUCGCCGAGGGAUGAGCCCGCGUAGGAUUAGGUAGUUGGUGUGGUAAAGGCGCACCAAGCCGACGAUCCUUAGCUGGUCUGAGAGGAUGAUCAGCCACACUGGGACUGAGACACGGCCCAGACUCCUACGGGAGGCAGCAGUGGGGAAUAUUGGACAAUGGGCGAAAGCCUGAUCCAGCAAUGCCGCGUGAGUGAUGAAGGCCUUAGGGUUGUAAAGCUCUUUUACCCGGGAUGAUAAUGACAGUACCGGGAGAAUAAGCUCCGGCUAACUCCGUGCCAGCAGCCGCGGUAAUACGGAGGGAGCUAGCGUUAUUCGGAAUUACUGGGCGUAAAGCGCACGUAGGCGGCUUUGUAAGUAAGAGGUGAAAGCCCAGAGCUCAACUCUGGAAUUGCCUUUUAGACUGCAUCGCUUGAAUCAUGGAGAGGUCAGUGGAAUUCCGAGUGUAGAGGUGAAAUUCGUAGAUAUUCGGAAGAACACCAGUGGCGAAGGCGGCUGACUGGACAUGUAUUGACGCUGAGGUGCGAAAGCGUGGGGAGCAAACAGGGAUUAGAUACCCUGGUAGUCCACGCCGUAAACGAUGAUAACUAGCUGUCCGGGGACUUGGUCUUUGGGUGGCGCAGCUAACGCAUUAAGUAUCCGCCUGGGG
rnacentral:rRNA from 1 species